AUCUACGGUUUAAUUCGCUAACUUUUUGGUUAUCUACUCUUCUUUGUACGUUUAGCCUGAUAUUCUUGUGGUAAUGAAUGAAUACUUAAAUUUUUGGAAAUGAAUAUGAUUAGAUUAUAUGGCGCAGUACAACAAAUAGAUUUAAAAUAACUCAUACAGUAUAUUAAAAAGAAAAUCAAACGUAAAGGCUUCGGGAUAUAAAGUGAUCAAAUUUCUAAGAAAAAAAAGCGUUAGCAUUCGAGGAGGGUAAGUAUGAUUAGAUGUUUACUUGAAAUUAGAGUGUUAAAAAAUAUGGCUUUAUAUCAAAUAAAAUAUCGUUGCAAAACCGUGCAAUGCUUCGUCAAAUUGACAUUCACCUAGACUUUACUAGUUUCAUUCGCGUAUUAGAUUUCCUGUUAACUCAAAUAGAACGAUAAUAUUCUGGUACCGUAGCAAUUCAUAAAAUUAAAUUCGGCGGAAUAACGAAAGUUGUAAUUAUUAAGUCCUAACGUCU